rnacentral:rRNA from 1 species
UACGUAGGGUGCAAGCGUUGUCCGGAAUUAUUGGGCGUAAAGAGCUCGUAGGCGGUUUGUCGCGUCGAAUGUGAAAACCCGGGGCUCAACCCCGGGCCUGCAUUCGAUACGGGCAGACUAGAGUUCGGUAGGGGAGACUGGGAUUCCUGGUGUAGCGGUGAAAUGCGCAGAUAUCAGGAGGAACACCGGUGGCGAAGGCGGUUCUCUGGGCAUUACCUGACGCUGAGGAGCGAAAGUGUGGGGAGCGAACAGG